UAGCAAGGUUAACCGAAUAGGGGAGCCGAAGGGAAACCGAGUCUUAACUGGGCGUUAAGUUGCAGGGUAUAGACCCGAAACCCGGUGAUCUAGCCAUGGGCAGGUUGAAGGUUGGGUAACACUAACUGGAGGACCGAACCGACUAAUGUUGAAAAAUUAGCGGAUGACUUGUGGCUGGGGGUGAAAGGCCAAUCAAACCGGGAGAUAGCUGGUUCUCCCCGAAAGCUAUUUAGGUAGCGCCUCGUGAAUUCAUCUCCGGGGGUAGAGCACUGUUUCGGCAAGGGGGUCAUCCCGACUUACCAACCCGAUGCAAACUGCGAAUACCGGAGAAUGUUAUCACGGGAGACACACGGCGGGUGCUAACGUCCGUCGUGAAGAGGGAAACAACCCAGACCGCCAGCUAAGGUCCCAAAGUCAUGGUUAAGUGGGAAACGAUGUGGGAAGGCCCAGACAGCCAGGAUGUUGGCUUAGAAGCAGCCAUCAUUUAAAGAAAGCGUAAUAGCUCACUGGUCGAGUCGGCCUGCGCGGAAGAUGUAACGGGGCUAAACCAUGCACCGAAGCUGCGGCAGCGACGCUUAUGCGUUGUUGGGUAGGGGAGCGUUCUGUAAGCCUGCGAAGGUGUGCUGUGAGG
rnacentral:rRNA from 1 species